GUCGGGAUAGCUCAGCUGGUAGAGCAGAGGACUGAAAAUCCUCGUGUCAGAGUUUCAAAU
rnacentral:tRNA from 1 species